rnacentral:rRNA from 1 species
CUUGGAAGCUAAGCAGACUCAGGCCUGGUUAGUACUUGGAUGGGANACUGCCCGGGAAUACCAGGUGCAGUAGGCUU